AAGCAAGAAGCAAAUUCUUGCACUUAGUUUCGACCUAAAAGUUUGGUGAUUACACCCUUGCUUA
rnacentral:tRNA from 1 species